rnacentral:rRNA from 1 species
UUUUUGUUAAUAAAUUUAAAGUCUAGUCUGCCCAAUGAUUUUUUUUAAUGGCCGCAGUAUAUUAACUGUGCUAAGGUAGCAUAAUCAUUAGUUUCUUAAUUAGAAGCUGGAAUGAAUGGCUGAAUGAAAAAAUUUCUGUUUCUAUUUAAUUUUAUUAAAAUUUUAUUUUUAAGUUAAAAAGCUUAAAUUGAUUUGUAAGACGAGAAGACCCUAUAGAGUUUUAUAUAAUUUUAAUUUUAAUUUUUUAGAAUUUAUUAGUUAAAAUUAUAUUUAUAUUUAAUUGGGGUGAUUGAAAAAUUUAAAAAACUUUUUUUUUUAUUAGUAUACUAUUAAGUAAAUUUAUGAGCCAAUAUUUUUGAUUAUAAGAUUAAAUUACCUUAGGGAUAACAGCGUAAUUUUAUUAGAGAGUUCAAAUCGAUAAUAGAGAUUGCGACCUCGAUGUUGGAUUAAAA